rnacentral:rRNA from 1 species
AACGGCCAUACCAUGCUGAAUAUACCGGUUCUCGUUAAAACGAAGUCAAGGAUCAUUGGGCACGGUCAGUACUUGGGUGGGUGACCACCUGGGAAACCGCGUGCCGUUA